AUUGAACGCUGGCGGCAGGCCUAACACAUGCAAGUCGAGCGGAGCGGCUGUCGGGUGAGUAAUGCCUACGAAUCUGCCUGGUACUGGUGGAUAACGUCCGGAAACGGGCGCUAAUACCGCAUACUAUCAGAUGAGCCUAGGUCGGAUUAGCUAGUUGGUGGGGUAAAGGCCUACCAGGGCUACGAUCCGUAACUGGUCUGCGAGGCUGAUCAGUUAAACUGGAACUGAGACACGUUCCAGAGUCCAACGGGAGCCAGCAGUGGGGAAUAUUGGAAAAGGGGCGAAAGCUGGUUCCAGCCAGGCCGCGUGUGGGAAGAAGGUCUUCGGAUUGUAAAGCACUGUAAGUUGGGAGGCGUUACCCACAGAAUAAGCACCGGCUAACUUCGUGCCAGCCGCCGCGGUAAUAC
rnacentral:rRNA from 1 species